rnacentral:rRNA from 1 species
AUGCCCGAUGGACGGAGAGAUGCUGCACACAGACGUGCAUGUGCUCAUCAUAGUACCGUUGGACACGGUCACGUACUUCCUUGUCUUGCAACAGCCGAUGGAUGCAUCAGCUCGGCUGGCAUUUUGCGGGGGAUUUUGAUUCAUGUCAUGUCAGUCCAUAUUCUGUUUUUCUUUUCUUUCUAUUCUCAAGUUACCCAUAUUCUUAUCGUUAUUCAGGUGAGGUCCAGAAGGGCCGGGGCGCAUGUGCGUGACUUGAGUUCGGUGGUUUCGGUAGGGACAGCUCAUGCGUGUGUGCAUACGCGCAAAUCUGGAUCCUGUCCUAGCUAG